AGAGUUUGAUCCUGGCUCAGAGCGAACGCUGGCGGCAGGCCUAACACAUGCAAGUCGAGCGCCCCGCAAGGGGAGCGGCAGUCGGGAGAGUAACACGUGGGAACGUACCCUUCAGUUCGGAACAACCCAGGGAAACUUGGGCUAAUACCGAAUACGUCCGUAAGGAGAAAGAUUUAUCGCUGAAGGAUCGGCCCGCGUCUGAUUAGCUUGUUGGUGAGGUAACGGCUCACCAAGGCGACGAUCAGUAGCUGGUCUGAGAGGAUGAUCAGCCUCACUGGGACUGAGACACGGCCCAGACUCCUACGGGAGGCAGCAGUGGGGAAUAUUGGACAAUGGGCGCAAGCCUGAUCCAGCCAUGCCGCGUGGGUGAUGAAGGCCCUAGGGUUGUAAAGCCCUUUCGGCGGGGAAGAUAAUGACGGUACCCGCAGAAGAAGCCCCGGCUAACUUCGUGCCAGCAGCCGCGGUAAUAC
rnacentral:rRNA from 1 species